AACACCUCAAUCAUUAUUUCCACCUUCCCUUUUAUCCCAACUCACUCAACCAGAAAACCCUCCCUCACAAACUCUUUACGAAAAUUAUCAACCAACAUUCACCAUUCACUUUGAACCUCAUGAAUCUGAUUCUAAGUCAGAUGUUAAGUUUAUUGUCCUUCCAGACAUAACACCUCAACCCUACUAUGACCAAACACCCUUUCAAACCAAUAUUCACCCUACACCUCUUGAUGAAUUGUUU
rnacentral:lncRNA from 1 species